AGAAUCAACGCUGGCGGCGUGCCUAACACAUGCAAGUCGAACGAGAAAGUGGAGCAAUCCAUGAGUAAAGUGGCGACCGGGUGAGUAACACGUGACUAACCUACCUUCGAGUGGGGGAUAACAUCGGGAAACCGAUGCUAAUACCGCAUAACAUCGCAAGAUCAAAGCAGUAAUGCGCUUGAAGAGGGGGUCGCGGCUGAUUAGCUAGUUGGCGGGUAACGCCCACAAGCGAAGAUCGGUAGCCGGCCUGAGAGGGCGCACGGCCACACUGGAACUGAAACACGGUCCAGACUCCUACGGGAGGCAGCAGUGGGGAAUUUUGCGCAAUGGGGGAAACCCUGACGCAGCAACGCCGCGUGGAGGAUGAAGCCCCUUGGGGCGUAAACUCCUUUCGACCAAGACGAUAAUGACGGUACUGGUGGAAGAAGCACCGGCUAACUCUGCGCCAGCAGCCGC
rnacentral:rRNA from 1 species